rnacentral:rRNA from 1 species
UAGCUGGUUCCCUCCGAAAUUUCCCUUAGGAUAGCUAUAACUUGUAUAGUUUCAUCAGGUAAAGCUAAUGAUUAGAGGACUUGGGGGCGAAAUGCCCUCGACCUAUUCUCAAACUUUAAAUGGGUGAGAGCACACGGUUGUUUAAGUAAACUGUGUGAUGGAAUAGAAGUUGUUAGUGGGCCAUGUCUGGUAAGCAGAUCUGGCGAUGCGGGAUGAUCCGAACG